UCUCCGUAGGUGAACCUGCGGAGGGAUCAUUACUGAGUGAGGGCCUUCGGGCUCGACCUCCAACCCUUUGUGAACACAACUUGUUGCUUCGGGGGCGACCCUGCCGUUUCGACGGCGAGCGCCCCCGGAGGUCUCCAAACACUGCAUCUCUGCGUCGGAGUUUGAAACAAAUUAAACAAAACUUUCAACCACGGAUCUCUUUGUUCUGGCAUCGAUGAAGAACGCAGC
rnacentral:misc_RNA from 1 species